AUAGCCAGCAGGUAGAAAUUUUUGCAGAGCACUAAAUAGCUCGCCAUUUUAGAUUUGUUAACAUAACUAGCUGUAUAGCGAGUGCUGUAGCUCUCUCCAAUUUACAGCGCUAGACGAGAGGGAAUGACGGGUAAGAGCAUCCACGCUCAUGCUACCCAAACUUAAUCCUUAGCUGUAAUAGCUGGUAUGAGUGAAAAAAAAAUAGCAUUGUUACUCUCUAUUUGGCUACCUAUUCUUACACUAUGAACAGUACUCGCUAUACGUAGCGAGUAUUGUAGCACUCCUCGAUUGGUAGCGAGAAAGAAGGUGAUCGCGGGAAAGGAAAGAGUGGAGGAUGGGGUUGUGCUUCUAGUUUCUGUUUCGGUUGCUGCGCAGUCUAUGGUGGUGGCUGAAAUGUUUUGGUGUUGUGUGGGAUGAGUUGGAGCUAUUCGAGCUGGGUGAUUUACAUAUCUUGAAGCUGAACCACACAUUCUAGAUUUAAAGAGAGAGAGAGAGAGAGAGAGAGAGAGAAAGCGAUUAGCAGCAGCAAUGGAGGUGGAAUUGAAAGAGAUGCUUAACGAUCUUGAUUAUUUGAAGAAAUCACUGUCAAAUCCUUCAAACCUUGCUUCUUCAUUUCAUAAGCUUGGUCUCGAACUUUUGUUUAGAACAUAGGAAAAGUGAGGCAUAAACUGCGAUGCUGGGCUGUGCUUUGUCAGAGUGGAUGAAUCACUGUAUUAUAUAGGAGAGAAAGUAUAACAUAUGCCUAUUCACGAAUCAUGAGCUGCCUGCUGCAAAGAACUUUUGUUUAUUUCCUUGUGGUGAUGGAAUUGUUUUUACAAAAGUUUAGCAUGUUGGAUCUAUUCCAUGAGCAAGAUAAUAUCCUUUCAUAUAUAGUUAUGUCUAUUUGAUGAAUAGUGAACA